GAGGAGGCGGAGAAUCGGUGGGAGAGAGAGAGAGAGAGAGAGAGGCGCGCUUGUGGAGUGGAAUUACCUAACCCUCCUCCUCCUCCUCUUCUCUGUCUCUUCUCUUCAUCGCCUCGCGAUCCCCCCGCUGACCUCCCUCUCUCUCUCUCCGCCGAUCCGGGGAGCGCCAUGGAGCUGCGAGUCUCGCCCAUCGAUCGGGGGAGCCGAGGUCGAGGAAGAGGAGUAUCUCAAUUGCAAGAUGCAACCCAAGAGUGUGAAUUGGUGACCUCUUCUCAGCUUUGGGAGUGCUUAUACUAAUGUCAGUCUGCAGUCACGGAAAACUUAGAAUAAGCAAGGUAAUACAUGAUAACACAUAUCCAAAUGGAUUCUUUUUGUGAGAGACCUCUUUAAAACUUCUACAUAAUCACCACUACCACCACCACCCUUCUUUUCUAUCUACUGCAUGGUUCUAUAUUCUGCGUCACUGGGCACUGAUGGUAGCCUUCAGAAAGGGAAGCUUCAAAUUGUCCACUUCCUCCUCUAACAAGAAGAUCUGGGCCUUGGAGAGCAACACUGCCUUUAGGAAAAAUGGUCUACGAAGACAAGCAUCUGGUUUCCUGCCACUGUUUCUUCCUGUUCGCCGCCAAAUUCUGGUGGAUACUCCCGAUGAUGCAAGGAACUCAUGGCCAGGAAUAUGCCCACUCCAUUCGACUCGAUGGAGAUAUCAUUUUGGGAGGACUCUUCCCUGUCCAUGCAAAGGGGGAGAGAGGAGUACCUUGUGGGGAGCUCAAGAAGGAAAAAGGGAUCCACCGGCUUGAGGCAAUGCUCUAUUCAAUCGAUCAAAUCAAUAAGGACCCAGAUCUACUUGCCAAUGUCUCCUUGGGUGUCCGGAUUCUAGACACUUGUUCCAGGGACACGUAUGCUUUGGAGCAGUCCUUGACAUUUGUGCAAGCUUUGAUAGAGAAAGAUGGAUCUGAUGUGAAAUGUGCUAAUGGAGACCCGCCUAUUUUCACUAAGCCAGACAAGAUAACCGGGGUGAUAGGAGCAGCUGCAAGUUCUGUGUCCAUCAUGGUGGCUAAUAUUUUAAGACUUUUCAAGAUACCUCAAAUCAGCUAUGCAUCUACAGCUCCAGAGUUAAGUGAUAACACCAGGUAUGACUUUUUCUCUCGGGUGGUACCUCCUGACUCCUAUCAAGCCCAAGCCAUGGUCGAUAUUGUGACAGCACUUGGAUGGAACUAUGUCUCAACCCUGGCUUCAGAGGGAAACUACGGGGAGAGUGGUGUCGAAGCAUUUAUGCAGAUCUCAAGAGAAAUAGGUGGUGUUUGCAUUGCUCAGUCUCUGAAAAUCCCCCGUGAACCAAGACCAGGAGAAUUUGAUAAGAUCAUCAAGCGCUUGAUGGAGACACCGAAUGCUCGGGCAGUAAUCAUGUUCGCCAAUGAAGAUGAUAUCAGGAGAAUAUUGGAAGCAGCCAGGAGAGCUAAUCAAAGUGGACAUUUCCUUUGGAUCGGCUCAGACAGCUGGGGGUCUAAAAUCUCACCUGUUUAUCAGCAAGAAGAGAUUGCAGAAGGGGCAGUCACCAUUUUGCCCAAAAGAGCUUCCAUUGACGGUUUCGACAGGUAUUUUAGAAGCAGAACUCUGGCAAAUAACAGAAGGAAUGUGUGGUUUGCAGAAUUCUGGGAAGAAAAUUUUGGAUGCAAGUUGGGUUCUCAUGGAAAAAGAAAUAGCAAUAUAAAGAAAUGCACAGGUUUGGAAAGAAUUGCAAGGGACUCUUCUUAUGAGCAAGAAGGAAAGGUCCAGUUUGUCAUUGAUGCUGUGUACUCCAUGGCAUACGCACUGCACAACAUGCAUAAAGAUCUUUGUUCUGGAUAUAUUGGUCUUUGUCCCCGGAUGGCUACAAUUGAUGGUAAAGAGCUUCUUAGCUACAUCAGAGCAGUAAACUUUAAUGGUAGUGCUGGAACACCAGUUGUUUUCAAUGAAAAUGGAGAUGCCCCUGGACGUUAUGAUAUCUUUCAAUAUCAACUAACCAAUCGAAGUGCAGAAUAUAAAAUAAUUGGCCACUGGACAAACCAGCUUCAUCUGAAUGUAGAAGACAUGCAGUGGAGCAACAAAGAACGAACUCACCCCACCUCAGUCUGCAGUCUGCCAUGCAAGCCUGGGGAGAGGAAGAAAAUGGUCAAGGGAGUGCCAUGCUGUUGGCACUGUGAGCGCUGUGAAGGUUACCAUUACCAAUUGGAUGAGGUCACCUGUGAAAUGUGCCCAUUUGACAAGAGACCCAACCUUAACCGCACAGACUGCCAACAGAUUCCUAUCAUCAAGCUGGAGUGGCAUUCCCCCUGGGCUGUCGUACCUGUCUUUAUAGCUAUCCUUGGGAUCAUUGCCACAACCUUUGUCAUUGUGACCUUUGUGCGUCACAAUGACACACCCAUCGUCCGGGCCUCUGGGCGUGAGCUCAGCUAUGUCCUCUUGACUGGGAUUUUCCUCUGCUACUCCAUCACCUUUUUAAUGAUUGCAAGCCCUGAUACUGCCAUCUGCAGUUUCCGACGGAUCUUUCUAGGCCUUGGCAUGUGUUUCAGUUAUGCAGCCUUGCUCACCAAAACCAACCGGAUCCAUCGAAUAUUUGAGCAAGGGAAAAAGUCUGUCACUGCUCCUAAAUUCAUCAGCCCAGCUUCCCAGUUGGUAAUUACUUUCAGCCUCAUCUCCGUACAGCUUGUAGGAGUAUUCAUCUGGUUUGGUGUUGACCCACCACACAUCAUAGUGGACUAUGGAGAACAGAGGACUCUGGAUCCAGAAAAUGCCCGUGGAAUUCUCAAAUGUGACAUUUCUGAUCUAUCUCUCAUUUGUUCUCUUGGAUACAGUAUUCUCUUAAUGGUAACAUGCACUGUUUAUGCUAUUAAAACAAGAGGAGUUCCAGAGACCUUCAAUGAAGCCAAACCAAUUGGAUUUACUAUGUACACCACCUGUAUCAUUUGGUUAGCUUUUAUUCCAAUCUUUUUUGGAACUGCACAGUCAGCAGAAAAGAUGUACAUCCAGACAACAACACUAACAAUCUCCAUGAGUUUAAGUGCUUCUGUAUCUCUGGGCAUGCUCUACAUGCCCAAGGUUUAUAUUAUCAUUUUUCAUCCAGAGCAAAAUGUUCAAAAAAGAAAGAGAAGUUUCAAGGCUGUUGUCACAGCAGCCACGAUGCAAAGCAAGCUGAUCCAAAAGGGAAAUGACCGACCAAAUGGCGAGGUCAAAACUGAACUUUGUGAAAGUCUUGAAACCAACAGUAAGUCAUCCGUAGACUUAACCAUGGUCAAGAGUGGCAGCACUUCCUAAUAGAUAAAUGAAAAAAAGGAGCUGAGGAAAGUCAGAAGCCUAAGUCUGAAAAGAUGUAGAGCUUCCUCUUCCAAGACGACUUAUGUCAGCUACAACAAUCAUGCAAACUGAGUGGGGAAACCAAACAUACCUGAAAACUUGCAGUAUGUGAACUUUAAAAAACAAAACCAACAAUGACUAUAACAUCUUGAGAACUCAGCCUCUGAGAUGUCUCUAGAAAACAGUCAAAACUGUAAAAGGACAAAGAUUAACUAUGCGCCCAAAGCAGGAGGGGCAGGUGGGUUCGAAGAGAAAUGACCCAGAAUUAUAUUAUAUGACUGCGUGUCAAAUGUCAGAACUGUUUACUCAUGAAAGAAGGUGAAUCACAAAAGGAAAACAAAAUGUUAGCUUGUGAAAAAAAUGCUGUUGAAAUAAAAACCAUGUCUGAUGUUAUACUUGUAAGUACUUUUUUGUGAUUGUGAGAAUUUCCAUUCCUGUUCCACACUUGUUCAAAUUGUAUAAGAAGAUGAAGUUUGUUUCUUGUGAUGGCUGACUGAUUUGAAGCCCUGCGUUGUGCUAAUGAUAAAUGCAAUGGUUGACGCAUGCACAUUUUUAUACAAAAUAAUUUAUUUCUAUUAAUAAAGGAAUGUUUUGCAAAUGUUGA